rnacentral:rRNA from 1 species
AGAGCGAACGCUGGCGGCAUGCUUAACACAUGCAAGUCGCACGGGCAGGGGAAACCCUGUCAGUGGCGGACGGGUGAGUAACGCGUAGGUAUCUAUCCUUGGGUGGGGGACAACGGCUGGAAACGGCUGCUAAUACCGCAUGAUGACCGAGGUCUAAAGGCGCAAGUCGCCUGGGGAGGAGCCUGCGUACGAUUAGCUUGUUGGUGGGGUAAAGGCCUACCAAGGCUACGAUCGUUAGCUGGUCUGAGAGGAUGAUCAGCCACAUUGGGACUGAGACACGGCCCAAACUCCUACGGGAGGCAGCAGUGGGGAAUAUUGGACAAUGGGCGCAAGCCUGAUCCAGCAAUGCCGCGUGUGUGAAGAAGGUCUUCGGAUUGUAAAGCACUUUCGGACGGGACGAUGAUGACGGUACCCGUAGAAGAGCCCCGGCUAACUUCGCGCCAGCAGCCGC